CCCUUAGAUGUUCUGGGCCGCACGCGCGCUACACUGACUACUUCAACGAGUUGUUUCCUUGAUCGAAAGGUCUGGGUAAUCUUUGAAAGGUAGUCGUGAUGGGGAUAGAUCCUUGCAAUUUUUGAUCUUCAACGAGGAAUUCCUAGUAAACGCAAGUCAUCAGCUUGCAUUGAUUACGUCCCUGCCCUUUGUACACACCGCCCGUCGCACCUACCGAUUGAAUGGUCCGGUGAAUCUUUAGGACUGUGGCUGAGGCCUUGCCUUGUGCGGGUCUGGCCGUGGGAAUUUAGUUAAACCUUACCAUUUAGAAGAAGGUGAAGUCGUAACA
rnacentral:rRNA from 1 species